AUACGUAGGUGACAAGCGUUAUCCGGAUUUACUGGGCGUAAAGGGCGUGUAGGCGGUCUUGCAAGUCAGAAGUGAAAUUCCUGAGCUCAACUCGGGCGCUGCUUCUGAAACUGCAGGACUUGAGUGCUGGAGGGGAUAGCGGAAUUCCUAGUGGAGCGGUAAAAUGCGCAGAUAUUAGGAAGAACACCGGUGGCGAAGGCGGCUAUCUGGACAGUAACUGAAGCUGGGGCGCGAAAGCGAGGGGAGCAAACAGGAUUAGGUGCCCGGGUAGUCCACGCCGUAAACGAUGAAUACUAGGUGUAGGGGGUAUCGACUCCCUCUGUGCCGCAGUUAACACAAUAAGUAUUCCGCCUGGGGAGUACGGCCGCAAGGUUGAAACUCAAAGGAAUUGACGGGG
rnacentral:rRNA from 1 species